rnacentral:rRNA from 1 species
GGGUGCGAGCGUUGUCCGGAAUUAUUGGGCGUAAAGAGCUCGUAGGCGGCCUGUCGCGUCGGAUGUGAAAGCCCGGGGCUCAACCCCGGGUCUGCAUUCGAUACGGGCAGGCUGGAGUGUGGUAGGGGAGACUGGAAUUCCUGGUGUAGCGGUGGAAUGCGCAGAUAUCAGGAGGAACACCGGUGGCGAAGGCGGGUCUCUGGGCAGUAACUGACGCUGAGGAGCGAAAGCGUGGGGAGCGAACAGG